UAGGGAAUCUUCGGCAAUGGACGAAAGUCUGACCGAGCAACGCCGCGUGAGUGAAGAAGGUUUUCGGAUCGUAAAACUCUGUUGUUAGAGAAGAACAAGGACGUUAGUAACUGAACGUCCCCUGACGGUAUCUAACCAGAAAGCCACGGCUAACUACGUGCCAGCAGCCGCGGUAAUACGUAGGUGGCAAGCGUUGUCCGGAUUUAUUGGGCGUAAAGCGAGCGCAGGCGGUUUCUUAAGUCUGAUGUGAAAGCCCCCGGCUCAACCGGGGAAGGUCAUUGGAAACUGGGAGACUUGAGUGCAGAAGAGGAGAGUUGAAUUCCAUGUGUAGCGGUGAAAUGCGUAGAUAUAUGGAGGAACACCAGUGGCGAAGGCGGCUCUCUGGUCUGUAACUGACGCUGAGGCUCGAAAGCGUGGGGAGCAAACAGG
rnacentral:rRNA from 1 species